rnacentral:rRNA from 1 species
UGGUCAAGUUAUUAAGGGUGCAGGGCGGAUGCCUUGGCACUAGGAGCCGAUGAAGGACGUGAUAAGCUGCGAUAAGCUUCGGGGAGUUGCACGUAAACUUUGAUCCGAAGAUUUCCGAAUGAGGAAACUCACUUAGAGUAAUGUCUAAGUAUCAUUAAGUGAAUACAUAGCUUAAUGAGGGGAACUCAGGGAACUGAAACAGCUAAGUACCUGAAGGAAGAGAAAGAAAUUCGAUUCCGUAAGUAGCGGCGAGCGAACGCGGAUUAGCCCAAACCAAUAAAGUUUUCUUUAUUGGGGUUGCGGACAUAUCAUAACGAAGAG